rnacentral:rRNA from 1 species
UGGGGAAUAUUGGACAAUGGGCGAAAGCCUGAUUCAGCCAUGCCGCGUGUGUGAAGAAGGUCUUCGGAUUGUAAAGCACUUUAAGUUGGGAGGAAGGGUACUUACCUAAUACGUGAGUAUUUUGACGUUACCGACAGAAUAAGCACCGGCUAACUCUGUGCCAGCAGCCGCGGUAAUACAGAGGGUGCAAGCGUUAAUCGGAAUUACUGGGCGUAAAGCGCGCGUAGGUGGUUUGUUAAGUUGGAUGUGAAAGCCCCGGGCGCAACCUGGGAACUGCAUCCAAGACUGGCAAGCUAGAGAGUGGUAGAGUGUGGUGGGAUGUCCUGUGUGGCGGUGAGAUACGUAGAUAUAGGAAGGAACACCAGUGGCGAGGGCGACCGCCUGGACUGAUACUGACACUGAGGUGCGAGAGCGUGGGGAGCAAACA